UGGCCGGGGAGGCCGGCUUCGACCUCAUUCCCGAUGCGGUGGCCGAAUGGUUCGAAGCCCUUUCGAUCAUC
rnacentral:tRNA from 1 species